rnacentral:lncRNA from 1 species
AUGAACACUCGUUUCAAGCCCGAGAAUAUACGAACCGCUGUGUGCAAUGGGCAAGGCACCUGCUACAUGACAUGCCUUGCAAAAAAGCUAGCCCAAGUGAUACAACACGCAUUGUAAGGACUGCCAUGCAACGACAGGAUGACUACCCCCGAAUGUACACUCUGCCAGUGUGGUGAAACAUGUGAACACCUGCUACAACAGGUCAUCUUGAACCUCACGCUUGCAAUGCUGCAUUUGUGAAUGGUUUACCAUGAAUCUCAUGGAGGGGUGCUUACGAUCGUCCACAAGCUUUAGCUGUCUACUGUGUCAUGCAAUAUACACUGCAAUAGCGUUGAAACUGAACACUAGCUCCAUGCAUUAGUUACAUUACGUGGCACUGCUAAGCUCAACGACGCAGGUUUUAUACCCAGCCACGGUGGUGACAUUUCAAUGGGGUCGAAAUGCAAGGACACUUGUGUGUUUAGGUUUGCAUCUGAAGUUCAGGAACAGACGGAAGCUUGAAGAGACCAACAAUUUGAGAA